AUGCUCAAGUUUCUUUGCUUCCUCCUCUUUCUUCCGCCGAUAAUUAGCUCGCCUCUUGGCGGUGAUUAUCAACAACGUUUGUCCCAGCCAUCUGAUAUCCUACACCUUCAGUACCCACAAGUUCAAUAUCCGGAAGAAUCGGUUGUCCAGACAGUUCAAGUGUCAGCCCAUCUGAGUCUUGAGAUGUGCGGCAAGUUUUUUAGUCAAAAAUUUACCUCUAGCAACAUGCGUAAACAGCUCCUAAGCUACUCUAUGCACAUCGACUUUGUCAUUCCAGUGAACGGGAACUUGACUGCGGGCUUGGAAUCCUACGAACACAAAGCAGAAAAGGCUGCUAUGGACUAUGGAUUUCACAUGGCCAUUACCAAGUGGAAUGAUGAGGUUUCGAGGGAAAUGGAAGUGAUGGUCAAGGAACAUGGUGGGUGCAUACUCUCUUCUGCAUUCUUGGACUAUUCUGUUCAUGACGAACAUCCUCGGUGCCAAAUUUUCUCUUCUUUUCUGCAGUUGGAAGGCGAGGCAACUUCACGGGAAAUUCGAUUAGCAAAAUUCGUCAAUACAACGUUGUAUGUUGUUCAUGUGAUGAGUACUGAUGCAAUGGAAGAGAUUGCCAAGGCUAAAAGAGAAGGUCAGAGAGUCAUCGGGGAACCUGUGGUAUCUGGGCUAGUCCUUGAUGAUUCUUGGCUUUGGGAUCCUGACUUUGCAACUGCUUCAAAGUAUGUGAUGAGUCCUCCAAUCCGGGAAGCAGGGCAUAAUAAAGCACUUCAAGCUGCUCUUUCAUCAGGAAUAUUACAGCUUGUGGGAACUGAUCAUUGCACCUUCAAUUCCACUCAGAAAGCUUUUGGUUCUGAUGAUUUCAGGAAGAUUUCCAAUGGCGUAAAUGGUAUUGAAGAAAGGAUGCAUAUAAUUUGGGAUAGCAUGGUGGAGACCGGCAAGAUCACAGUCACCGAUUAUGUGAGAGUGACAAGCACAGAAUGUGCCAAGAUCUUCAACAUAUACCCUCGCAAAGGAGCAAUCCUCGAGGGAUCUGAUGCAGACAUCAUCAUCCUGAACCCCAAGAGGAGCGUCGCGAUGGGCACGCGCACACACCAUUCGAGGUCCGACACGAACGUGUACGAGGGCAGAAAAGGAAAGGGAAUGGUAGAGGUGACCAUCUCAAGAGGGCGAGUGGUGUGGGAGGAUGGCUUGAACAAAGGAAACUGUGUUUUGUCAUUGCAAAUGGAAGCUGACUAA
rnacentral:rRNA from 1 species